rnacentral:sRNA from 1 species
GGGAGUAGAGAAGGUUUGAAAGAACAAAUUCAAAUGUUAAAGCAAACGGUGGUCAUGUUAUGCUGAAAAGGCUCGAGGAACAAGUCAAAGUGCUAGCUAUUUAGUGAGUUCCUCGGGCACCAACAAACAGACAUGCCCAAUAAAGAAAGUCAAUAGCGACGUUAGGAGAGCUUAGCGGUCUAUUGACUUUCUUUAUAGUGUUUAUUGUAAAGGAUUGGAUUUUAUUCAUCCCUUUUUUGUAUUUAUAAUCUA